rnacentral:tRNA from 1 species
AGGGAUGAAGCUUUAUACAAGCAAUUAGUUGUUACCUAAUAGAUAGUGAUGAAUCUCACCUACCCUA